ensembl:snRNA U6 U6 spliceosomal RNA
GUUCAUAAGAGCAGCACAUAAACUAAAAUUGAAAUGAUAAGAGAUUAGCAUGGCCCCUGCACAAGGAUGACGUACAUUUCAUGAAGCAUCCAUAUUUAA